GGAAGUUGCUAAGAAGAUUUUGCAGAUUCUAUUGGCAAUGUCAGCAAGUGAAGAUUUCCAAGUCUGGAGAGGCGAGCCUUCUGGUAAUUUUUCGGUUCGAAGUGCCUACACACUAUUACAGGAGGGUAUUCAAAAUCCUAUUAAUUUACAGACCGAGACUAAAGCUUUUUACAAAAAAUUAUGGAAUUUACAAAUCCUCCCGAAAAUUAAAAUUACAAUAUUGGGAAUCUCUUGGAAUUAUAUUCCUAAUUUUGCUAAUCUAAAGAUCAAAAGAACAAUUGCAGAUGCUCGAUGUCCCCGAUGCAAUCUGAAAGAGGAUGAUUGUAACCAUAUUUUUCGUGGAUGUCCUACAACAAAAGAAGUUUGGAGACUCAUACAGUUAUCGUGGAUUCUCAAUAAUACUGAAGAUACUUUUUGGAACUGGUUUACAUGGGUUUUCUGUCGUGGAUCAAAUGAACAGUGUCGUCUUUUUUGUUACGAGCUUUGAAUCAUCUGGACAAGCAGGAACAGAUUUGUUUAUGAAAAUAGACAAUCAACAAGCAAAGACAUCUCUUUUAAAAUUUCAGACUUUAUUUUCGAACUAAGAGGAGUGGAGGAAAAGAAACUUAUCUUGGCUGGAAAUGGCGAUUCAAGAACUGAAGUGAGUAGAAUGAGCAGAUCAGUUUACUUUAAUGCGGCAUUUGAUCAUCAACAUGCAAGAUCUGCUUCGAGAUUGAUUGUUCGAGGCGAGGGAGGGGAGAUUUUGGUCUCAAAAUCAGUUAUUCAUACCAACAUAGCAACUCCAUUCGCGGCAGAGGCACAUGCAGGGUUACAAGCCUUAGAGUUAGGAAGGU
rnacentral:lncRNA from 1 species